GGGCCCAUAGCCUAGUCUGGAUAAGGCGACAGCCCUCUAAGCUGUAGAUCGGGGGUCCGAAUCCCCCUGGGCCCA
rnacentral:tRNA from 1 species